rnacentral:lncRNA from 1 species
CAAAGUGACAAUUUUUUUUUAGCUAGAGGGGCUCCUGGAUGGCUCAGUUAUUUGAGCCUCCAACUUCAGCUCAGGUCAUGAUCUCACAGUUGGUGAGUUCCAACCCCACAUAAGGCUCACUGCUGUCAGCCUGUUAGCCUGCAGCCUGCUUCGGAUCCUCUGUCCCCCUCUCUGUGCUCCUCCCCAGCUUGUGCUCACCCCAAAAUAAAUAAAUAGCAAAUAGUUUAUGAGACACUAGCCUAAUUAUUUGUCAUGUAUAAGAGCUGAUUGCACCUCAGGGCCUUGGGCAAAGCCUCCUGUGCAUCUGACAUCCUCUAGUCCUCACAAGAAUCCUGUGAGGUGUAAACAGUGUUACAAUACCUAUUUUACACAUGAAUGGACCCAGGAAUUCUUUUUGGGGAGAAGAAUGAAUGAAGUUACUUUUCUAAGCUUGUUUAGCCAGGAAACCGGUGAAGCCAUGUUUCAAACCCAGGCAGUCCCUUGCUAUUUCAGCUCCCUGGUUCCGUGGCUCAUUUUUCAAUGAUGACAAAAUAGGUGCACUAAUGAUUUUACUUCAUUGUGAGGACUGAGAAGGAAACAAAAGUAUCUAAAAAUCUAAACCAGCCUUGUUCUUUCUCAUCAUUCAUUUUCACCUAAUAAGUUUCAGGAUAUGUAGGCGUCAAGCACUGCUCCAGAAACUGGGAUACAAGUACAAACAUGGCCCCUGUGAAGUCUCAUGGAGUCCAUGAAUUGUAGCAAUUCUGGGAUACAUGUAACAGUGCAAGGGCACACAAUUUACAGUAGCUAUUUUGACAGGCAGCUGGAGCAGGGGUUGGGGUCUCAGCAGGGGAGUCACUUCAGAAAACCUUCAUGGACUACUGUGCAUUUAAUCCACGUCUUGAAAUGUUGGUCCUUUUUUUCUAGAUAAACAAAGGUGGGCGACAGGGAAAGAAGUUUGCAAGUUACAGAAAUGAAAAAUAUGAAGGCAAGAAGAUGUUCUAAAAGAGCAGAUGUUUUCAAAGGAAAUGGAGCACUUGAAAUGCCAAAACUUUUACUGAUCAGUUUCCCCUUCCGGAGUCCUAUUCUUAUGAAAUCACUGCCUUGCUUUUGUUGGAAAAUUUUAGAACUGAAUUUAUCAGAAUGUCCGGGAUGGCAAGGAUUUACAGAGCGCUUUUCUAAGUCCGAGGCCACACAAAUGUGUUUCCAGUCAUUUAAGUCAAAAUUGGACCUUCCAAAUGGAGUUGCUGUGUACCUAUUUCCAUCCUUAAACCACACAUUUGGCUCCCAAAUCAAGUAAUUAUGUGUACAAAGGGAUCUGGGAAGUGCAAUCACUUCACUGGCACAUGUAAGUAAAAUAUGGAUGCUCAAUUUCCAUCGUAAUGCAUGCAAAUGAUAGACCCCCACACACAGGCAUUAUAACUGCCCUACGCACAGCCUGUCACUUUGGCUUUUGAAUUUAAAGAGAUAUCCUAUUCCUCUGAGCAUGUUGAACAACAUUCAGCAGAAUUCUCUCCAAUUCUAUUUUUGUUUAAAUCUCUUACGUUCAUU